UGCGUAGGCGGCUGAUUAAGUCGGAUGUGAAAUCCCUGAGCUUAACUUAGGAAUUGCAUUCGAUACUGGUCAGCUAGAGUAUGGGAGAGGAUGGUAGAAUUCCAGGUGUAGCGGUGAAAUGCGUAGAGAUCUGGAGGAAUACCGAUGGCGAAGGCAGCCAUCUGGCCUAAUACUGACGCUGAGGUACGAAAGCGUGGGAGCAAACA
rnacentral:rRNA from 1 species